CAGUGUUUAAUUGUGAAAAGCUGGGACAGGAAGUUGUAGAUUUAUGCUGGUUAGCGUAACAGCGGUUGCCGCCGGGGUCUACGGGACCGUCCCUCCCAGGAAGACAGAACCCGACACCGCCUCCUGCUCCUCCUGCCUCCGUCGUUGAGGGCCGUCCUGGAGAGCGGUUCGCCGUCUGUUCUUCGUAGUGGACACCGUGUCAUCACUCAUUUUUAUUCAUCGAGCUGGUUAGCAGCCUUUUCUAUUUAAUUCAGUUGCUUGUUUGGGCUUUUAGCCAGAGAGUGUGUGAGGGACGGACACAUUUAGAUUCAGACAACGUGACUGCAUGCUACGAGCGACGAGAAAUAACGGAAAGCAGGAGCAGCGAAAAAGCCUGAAAAGGACCGGUUGUUGAUUUCACCAAGAUAAACAACUGGCACAACAAGUGUCAGCUGCUGAUGUCGGAGGCCAUCGGCUAUUUGCAUCUCUCUUUGCCCGGCAGGAGAUUCAUUGUAGCUGCUGACCUGCCUGACAGUGGUUCAUCUUUUGUUAUUGUUUUUUUUUUUUUUGUUUGUUUGUUUUUUACCGGCCUGAUGGGAAUCAGUUGAGUAAAACAAUAGGCGUACACUUUGGCUGACUCAAGCUUUGAUUUCCUUUUAGUUGAACUUUAUUACAAUACCAGGAGAAAAGUUGCAGUCAGAUAUGCUACAUUAUAUCAUGAAGAUCAUAUUCAGGAAAUACUCAGGGCAGGCAACCUUUUUAAAAAAAAAAAACCCAAAAAACUGCACUCUGAAUUUUCCAAGAAAUACACUCAGGGUGUAGGCAACGCAUGUCGGUAUUGUUCAACAUUUGCUCUACUUUAUGAUACACAAUGACAUUUAAUAGAGUGACUUUCAGUACAGCUUGACAUUUAAGCAGCUUUUCCUCUGUCUUCAUCCCCUCAUCCUAUCUUCCCUUUCUCUUUCUCUUUCCCUUCCCUUUAUUUUCCUCCAGUCCACCUACAUCUCCUCCUUCCCUACAUGUCCUCUCCACCUCCUCUUCUCCUUUUCUUUAUGCACUUGACACCCCCUUUUGCCCUUGUCCACACUUCUCCACCUCCCCUUCUGUCCUCUCAACCCCUCAUUCAUCUCUAUGGCUCUCUCUUUUCCCCUUCAUUGAUUUGCCCGGUGGCGUUGCUAAGAGACGACCGCAGUCGGAGCGCUGCGAAGGAUAGAGUAGAUGGAAAGACAGUUUUACCUGCUCAGAAAAGGAAGUAAAGAUUGAAACAGGAGAUUCUCUCUCAGAUAUCAUGUGGCUUUGGUAUGUCCUAGCGGAAGCUGGUUGGUUGUGCAAGAAAGUUGCACCAGUAGUUUACAAAGAAACACGUGUGUUCGUUGAGUUGUUUUUUUUUUUGUUUUUUUUUUCAGUUUUAUUUGAACAUGACUGGCGUUAAGGAUUAUUGAUUAAUGUGCUUUUAUGAUUACCUUUUUAUCUGUUCAGUAUAUGAAACUGAGAAAAUAGAAGGAAAUGUCUGUAACUAAUUGUCUGGAGCCUAAAAUGAUCUUUUCAAAUGUUUCUUAUUGUAGAGCUGAAUCUGAAAAUUUGACAGCUCUGCUGCUUUGUUUGUUUUAUAGUAUACUUUUUUUUUUUUUUUAAACUUGUCCUGCAACUAGAUUUGUCAAAAAAAUUGAUACUCGGAUGCAAAAAAAUAGUAUUGAAUUAAUAUUAAUUUGUAAAAGUACCAACAGUGCCAUCUGUCAGACAACUAUAAUCAGUUGUCUGAUAGACAAAUUAAAGUGAGAAAAAUUUAGCAGCAACUAGACAGAAACAGUGCAAACGUGCACUACAGACUCUGUUUGAUCAGCAGUGAAAACAUGGAGCCAAAUCACCAGAAGCACUGCUCUACCUCAAAGGUCUUAAAUCAUUGUUGUUACAAAGAAACCAAUAACUGCAUGGUGUGAUUUCUUUAUUUUUUCGCUACCUAAAAGAAACUUAAAAUAUUUGUCCUAUUAGUUUUUAACUAUAUGAUAUAAAUUGAUAUUAUUUUUUGUAUUGUUCUGGUGUUUUUCUUUUCUUUUUUUAAUGCCUCUUUAUUGUUUGUAAUUUUUUUCCCUGUGGCAUCAAAAAUGGCAUUGGGUAACAGGUAUUUUCCUUGGUGUCAGUAUUAUGUUUGUAAUUUUAGUAUCAUGACAACCCUACUUACGGGUGCAACUUACUAAGUUUUGACUUAAUGCAAUGUUGACAUUGUUUUGCCCAACUUCUUAUGUGGAAGUGUCUACAGGACUUCACUAUAAGUGGUAGUUUUAAAUUUGAAUAACCUGAAUAUACUAAUGAUAAUAAUAAUAAUAAUAAUACUAGUAACAAUAAUAAUAAUGAUAAUCAUAGUAAUAACAAUUGAUAGCAGUGAACUGAAAUAUUCAUGCACAUUUCCAACAUAAAAAUAUGCAUAAUAAUAGAUUUCAAUCAGGGAAAAAAGCAGAAAGAAAUAAAAAAUCAAUUUAAAAAACAUCUCUAACGCUGUUCUUUUUUAGCAGGAUACACUGUGCCCAUUGGAGCACAACAAGACUUUGUCUUCUAAGAACACAUAGGGCUUAAGUAUAAGCUGGGAUGUAGCCUUUCAAUCUGUGGUGAGAGGUGAAAAAGUUACAGGCUGGCCUCUGGUUGUGUAACCAAUUAACUGUUAAACAGAGGUGCCCAGAGAUAGUCACUCAGAGCAUUAAAACCCAAAGCUAACAGUGGCAUUGGUAUCUGAACACUACACUUCUACAGAGAAACAUAAAACCUCCACCACACCCUCCUGACACCACUUUUUUAUGAACUUCUUUUUUUCCUAUAUUACAAGAUAAAGCUAAACCCCCCCGCUUGCAUCUUAUAUAUUGUUUUAGGAUACAAUUUUUAAGCUUUUUUUGUUUUUGUUUUUAAUAAUGAAUGUAUGAGUUACCACACACCAUGCGGCUCCUGCGCAUUGGGCAUGAAUGUUAAAUUCCCAUUUGUUCCUGGUUUUAAAAGACACGUAUGAAGUCUUUCAUAAUUCCUUAAACAUCUUUGAAGAAUCCUCCAUUUUUUAAUGUAGAAACUAGGAAUUCUAAAAGUUCUUAGAAAGCCCUUUGUGGGGUAAUUUACAGUAAUUGGUAAAACAACAGUGUUAAAAAAACAAACUUGCACGUUCAGGCCACAGGAGUGUCCCAGCACCCACUCACACGUCUUGUUCUGUGUUGCAUG